UACGAAGGGAGCUAGCGUUGUUCGGAAUCACUGGGCGUAAAGCGCACGUAGGCGGAUGUGUCAGUCAGGGGUGAAAUCCCGGAGCUCAACUUCGGAACUGCCUUUGAUACAGCACGUCUUGAGUCCGAUAGAGGUGGGUGGAAUUCCUAGUGUAGAGGUGAAAUUCGUAGAUAUUAGGAAGAACACCGGUGGCGAAGGCGGCGACCUGGUCCGUGACUGACGCUGAGGCGCGAAAGCGUGGGGAGCAAACAGG
rnacentral:rRNA from 1 species